ACGGGAGGCAGCAGUGGGGGAUAUUGCACAAUGGGGGAAACCCUGAUGCAGCGACGCCGCGUGAGUGAAGAAGUAUUUCGGUAUGUAAAGCUCUAUCAGCAGGGAAGAUAAUGACGGUACCUGACUAAGAAGCACCGGCUAAAUACGUGCCAGCAGCCGCGGUAAUACGUAUGGUGCAAGCGUUAUCCGGAUUUACUGGGUGUAAAGGGAGCGUAGACGGCUGUGCAAGUCUGAAGUGAAAGCCCCGGGCUCAACUCGGGAACUGCUUUGGAAACUGUGCAGCUAGAGUGCAGGAGAGGUAAGUGGAAUUCCUAGUGUAGCGGUGAAAUGCUUAGAUAUUAGGAGGAACACCAGUGGCGAAGGCGGCUUACUGGACUGUAACUGACGUUGAGGCUCGAAAGCGUGGGGAGCAAACAGGAUUAGAUACCCUGGUA
rnacentral:rRNA from 1 species